CGCAUCUGAAAUCAAGAAAUAAUUGCUGUAAAACGUCGCCGAGAAGUAUCUUCAAUUAUCCCUAAUGAUUUCAAGAAGGCAAUUGAAUUAUGGACCUCUUUGCAAGAAUAAGACAAAUUGGCUGAUUUCACGUAGAAGAUAUUAGUAAGAGGCAUAGCUUGUUAUUUUUCUUCAGAUAUUGCUUCAGGUGUAUCAGAAUUUUUGUAUACAUUUAUCGCAAACAGUAAUAAAAUGGCUGCCUGUGUUGUUUAAAUAACGAGAAUGGUGUCAACGACACCGAUAAGCACAUUAAGUUUUCAUCGAAGCAACUAACGAGCGCUGCUAACAUCGAGUCAGUAUAAAUUUAGGCAAGCUCAUUGGAAAACUGUAUCAAGAUGAACUAGUUCAAUGUUUUUGCGCUGAAAGUAUGCACACUCAAAUAUUUUCGAUAUCUCAUGGCAGAAUAACAAAGAAAAAAAGACGAUGACGUGAGCGUUUAACGAGCAAAGCUUAGAGAUAAGCGUACAAGGAUUCGUAGAGAUUAUCGGCCCCAGCCUGCGACUCACAUCCUGUUUCCAUCGCGAGACAAACUGCGACACACCCACUGUUCCGAGAACGUCGAACUUCGCCACCAAUUUCCAGUCGAAUCGAAAGCAACGCGUGUGGGAUAUUCGCGAGAUAGUGUAGUUUCCACACUUCUAUUCACAACUGUGCAAUUACUCUCUAAUCGAGAGAGGGAAACGAAACUGAUCGACGUCGAAAUCGUUGACGAUUUGACACUGAUAAUAUCGCAGACCUCGCGAAAUUUUCAACCAACGUCCGUGUAAAUACUUUAUACACGUUCGCCUUUCAAUAAUCGCGUGCAACACCAACGAUACAUUCCUUUCUAUCUGUUUAUCUCUGUCCGAUACUCUCCCCUGGGCGAUGUAAAAUCACGAUAUAGCGAACAAACUGUCACGUGCUUAUCGGAUCGGCGAGAUUUGCGAACGUGAAUCUGUGAUGAUCGGCAAAACGGUACUGAUUGUCAAUCAAGUUCUCGGUAAAGCGACCGGCUUCGAAGCCGGAGAAUAGAAGCCUGGAGGAGGCAAGUUGGUCUGGAGAAGGAGAAGGAACAGGAGAUGGAGGGAGUAUUCUCACAACAAGGGAAGUAGAAACUCGAGGCUGGUUCGCGAAGCCAAGGAAAACCAACCUAGCCAGCUACGAAGAAAUGGUUCGCGGGUAGAACCUGAACUAGACAGUUACUUGUGAAUCGGAUGGAUGUGCUCUUUCGUGGAAAUUGAAAUGUUCCUUGAAUUGGACCCUCGAUAUCGUAACUUAAAGGUUAGAAAACGAUAAGAAAACGAAUAUAAUAAUUCAAAUAUUGCGUCUUUGCUUUGUCGAUAAAGUAGGUCUUUAAGGGAAAGAUCUAGUUCGUGUCGACUUUGAAUCAAUAUAACAACGCGUUUGAAUGAAAUUCGUGGUUGGCAGGAAGCCUACCGAGCUCCCCCGGAUCUAUUUUAUACUGCUGAAUCAUACAGUCAAUUUGGACAUUAAUAUUGCACGAUAUGCGUAACGCACUUUCGUCAUAAAUUUCAGGGAAAUUGGACACGUACGAUAAUGACUCUAGACACUUAAUAGAUCAUAUAGAAGUAUUACAGUCGCAGAUAUUUAAAUCAAAAUGUUUCUGCUUUCAAUAUAUUACAUCGAAUAUGUAUUAUUAUUAUUAACAUCUGAUUAAGCAAAACAAAAACAUGGUCGCAAAAAAGCACGUAAUUAUAAUUAGGGUUCGAUGCAAUCAUAAUUUCCAUCGAUCUCUGCAUAGACAAACGUGCGUGUCGUUGGAUCGUUGCCAAACGAGCCGGUGUAAUCGGCGAUACAGGUCUCGUAAUGUCGGUCAUAGUCAUAUCACUAUGUUUUCAACGACAUGACACUGAAUCAAAUGACACUAAAAAUUGGAGUUUAAUAUAUCACCGAAGAACAGAAUGAGAAUUGAAAUUUUAAGAGUGUAAUCCUUAUGAUUAACUCGAGAAUAACCUAUCCAAACAUUGAUGAUGAUAUGAAGACUGAUCUCCGAUUCUGUUUACGAACAGAGAGACAUAAACACAAAUGAGGAACGACAGCGAUUAUACGGUACUAAUUUGGCUAGUGAAAAUAUUCGAAACAUUCUAUACAUACAAUAUAUCUCCUUCCCUGAUAAUUAUUACUUAGUAUGUACUUACUCUUUUGGUACAAUUAUACACACGUACGGAUAAACAUUUAUCUUGUAGAUAUAAUUAUAUUAUUUAAUAAUGACGAUAUGCUUCGACA